CACGGGACGGGCCAUGUGGGCGAACCGCGUGCGCGCGAUCGGACAGCGCAGAUCCGUCCCUGCGCACACGGACAGCCCAGAUCAAAUGUGCGCACAGACGGCCCAGAUCUCACACGGACGGCCGGAAAACCCUGCUGAAGUCUAGCGGCGCCGCCGCGGCUUCCCUCUAUUUUUGCCUCCGAUGAGGCCCUUCCCGGCCUCCAUUCGAUGCAAUUUUUAUACCAUUGUGAUUACCGUUCUUUUCUCUACAGGUUGACCAGAGCAAAAUAUCAAAACGCGACUCAUAUCGGAGAAGCCACCGCACCCGAGAGCACCGCCAUCGAUAAG
rnacentral:lncRNA from 1 species